rnacentral:lncRNA from 1 species
CGGAUGUGAGGGCCCCCACUCAGCUCCUGGGGCUCCUGGUGUUCUGGCUGCCAGGUAAGUCAGAUGUGACAUCCAGAUGACCCAGUCUCCAUCCUCCCUGUCUGCAUCUGUAGGAGACAGAGUCACCAUCACUUGCCGGGCGAGUCAGGGCAUUAUCAAUAAUUUAAAUUGGUAUCAGAAGAAACCAGGGAAAACUCCUAAGCUCCUGAUCUAUGCUGCAUCCAGUCUGCAAAGUGGGAUUCCCACUCGGUUCAGUGACAGUGGAUCUGGGACAGAUUACACUCCCACCAUCAGCAGCCUGCAGCCUGAAGAUUUUGCAACUUACUACUGUCAACAGAGUGACAGUACCCCUCCCAUAGUGUUACAAGUCAUAACAUAAACCCCAAGGA